rnacentral:rRNA from 1 species
AAUCAACGCUGGCGGCGUGCCUAACACAUGCAAGUCGAACGCGAGAGGGGCUUCGGCCCUGAUUGAGUGGCAAACGGGUGAGUAACGCGUGGGUGACCUACCUUCGAGUGGGGGGAUAACGUUCCGAAAGGGACGCUAAUACCGCAUAACAUCCUGUCUUUGGACAGAUGGAGAUCAAAGCCGGGGAUCGUAAGACCUGGCGCUUGAGGAGGGGCCCGCGUCCGAUUAGCUAGUUGGUGGGAAUGGCUCACCAAGGCAACGAUCGGUAGCCGGCCUGAGAGGGCGGACGGCCACACUGGACUGAGACACGGCCCAGACUCCUACGGGAGGCAGCAGUGGGGAAUUGUUCGCAAUGGGCGCAAGCCUGACGACGCAACGCCGCGUGAAGGAUGAAGGUCUUCGGAUUGUAAACUUCUGUUGAUCGGGACGAAC